UAAAAUAUAAGUGUAUAAAUUUAAGUAUUGCAUACUGUUUAAAAAAAAUUUUAUUGAUAAUAAAAUAUAGAAUUAAAAGGUAGAAAAUAUAUUAUUUUUAUUGUUUCAUAAUAAAAAUUAUGUAUAUUAGAGUUGAAAAGUCGACUUUUAAGAUAUCUGUUUUAUUUGUUAUAUUAGAAAAUUAUGUAGUUGUAUGAAAGGUUUAUAAAAUGUAAAAGUUGAAGUAUUUACUAGUUUAGUUUUAUAACUGUUUAUAAAAUAUGUAUUAUAGUUAGAUAUAAUUAAGUUUAUUAAAAUAUUAAUAAAUUAAUUGUUUUAAAAUUAGUAAUUGUAAAAAUUAAUUAUUAUUAAUUAAUAUAAUAAAAUAACUAAAUAGUUAAUCAACUGUUUUUUAAAGACUUAGAUUUUUAAAUAAAGUUUGCUUCUGCCCAAUGAAAAAUUAAAUGGCAGUCUUAGCGUGAGGACAUUAAGGUAGCAAAAUAAUUUGUGCUUUUAUUGAGUUCCAGUAUGAAUGAAGUUAUUGGUUAAUUAUCUUUUUAUUUUAUAUAUGAAUUUUUAGUUAGUAUAAAAAAAUAUUAGUAUAAUAAUACAAAGAUAAGUCUUCGGAAAUUCUUUUUUAAUGUUAAUAUUUAUUUAUUGAUAUUAAAAAUUUUCUAGGGCAGAAUUUUAUAUAAUGUAAUAGUCUAUUAUUAAUUAUAAGAAUUACUCCGGAGUUAACAGAAAAUCAUAUCUAAUCUAGUACUUAUAGUAAGAUAAGUUUUACAUCGAUGUUGUAUUUAAGUUUAUUAAAAAAGGAGAAAAUUUAAGUUUUAAGACUGUUCUUCUUUUAAUUAAUUUAACGUGAUAUUAGUUUAAUUCAUUGUGAGAUAGAAUUGUUUAUCUUGAUUAUUAUUAAAUUUAAGUUUUAAUAGUACGAAAGGAAAAUUAAAAAAAGUUUAAAACUUUAAAAGAAAAUAAAUUU
rnacentral:rRNA from 1 species